ACUGUAGUCUGAUAUUGAAAUUCGGCACAGCUUGUACAGGAUAGGUAGGAGCCUGAGAUACGUGAGCGCUAGCUUACGUGGAGGCGUUGGUGGGAUACUACCCUCGCUGUGUUGGAUUUCUAACCCGCACCAUUUAUCAUGGUGGGAGACAGUGUCAGAUGGGCAGU
rnacentral:rRNA from 16 species